CAUGCUGUAGAGGUGAUGAGCUCUUCAUGUCUCUUCUCUGACUCAACCUCUGUGGAGAGACCUGUCACAACUCUGAUCUCAGCAUU
ensembl:snoRNA